GAUGAACGCUGGCGGCGUGCCUAAUACAUGCAAGUCGAGCGAACGGACGAGGAUCUUGCUUCUCUGAUGUUAGCGGCGGACGGGUGAGUAACACGUGGAUAACCUACCUAUAAGACUGGGAUAACUUCGGGAAACCGGAGCUAAUACCGGAUAAUAUUUUGAACCGCAUGGUUCAAAAGUGAAAUACGGUCUUGCUGUCACUUAUAGAUGGAUAAGCGCUGCAUUAGCUAGUUGGUAAGGUAACGGCUUACCAAGGCAACGAUGCAUAGCCGACCUGAGAGGGUGAUCGGCCACCCGGGAACUGAGACACGGUCCAGACUCCUACGGGAGGCAGCAGAAGGGAAUCUUCCGCAAUGGGCGAAAGCCUGACGGAGCAACGCCGCGUGAGUGAUGACGGUCUUCGGAUCGGAAAACUCUGUUAUUAGGGAAGAACAUAUGUGUAAGUAACUGUGCACAUCUUGACGGUACCUGGUCAAAAAGCCACGGCUAACUACGUG
rnacentral:rRNA from 1 species